AUAAUAUCUUUAUGCGGACAAAAAGAGGAGCUUGACUGGUCCGAUCCACUUAAGUCCUUUAUCCAUUAGUAGGCCUACACCAGGAUUUCUCUUCUAAAUCCACAAAUAGUUGAAACGUUUAUACUGCCUAUUUUAAAACACCAAAUACACCCUGAACUAUCAUCCUAAACACUUUAAUAUCAUGUCAAGUCAUCGUACAUCGUACAACAUCAUCCUCCUGCAUCUAUUAGUCUUACCAAGACAAAAACUAAUCAAGCUAUCCCCAUUGGUACGUAUUUCCGUACCAACAGUAUCGCUCAGUGGUCGCGUCUACGGGUUUCCUCCAUCGUUAAAGGGGAAAAUUAUUGAAUCCAUAGAGUGUGUUAGUGUUUGGGAUGUACCGGGAUAAACGGGAAUGGCUUCACUAACACUCGCGUCUCUCUGCUGGGCUCUGCUGAUCCUCUUCGUCGUGGUUUUCGCUGCUGAAGCCCAGAACACCGUCACAGCUGAGCCUGGACAGGACGUAGUUCUACCAUGUCGAGUUCCAUCAGACAAAAUCAUGCAAGGUAUGAAGAGGAACAGAGCUGACCUGGGAGAUAAUUAUGUGCUUUUUUUCCGGGAUGACCGGCUGGAUCCAGAUGGUCAGCAUCCAUCUUUUAAGAACCGGGUGGAUCUACAGGACAGGAAUAUGAAUAAUAGAGAUGUGUCUCUGGUUCUGAAGAAUGUGACGACUGCUGAUGAUGGAUCAUACAAUUGUAAUAUUUUCAACAAAGUGACAAAAUCAUGGGAGAGCAUCAACACUGUCAGCCUGACUGUUUCAGGUCACACAGGAGGAUCUGUUGGACUGAUUGUUGGUCUGAGUGUUCCUGCUGGGCUUCUUGUUGCUGCUGUUGUUGGUUUUCUGGUCUACAGAAAACAUGAACGACACAAACCGGAUUUUAACUAGCAUCCUCAUGAAAAGCAGCAGGUUUGAAAUGUCUCUACAGCUGAUUACUGAGUCUUCUGCUGUGGUUUCAUGCAUUUAGAAGAAAACUAGGUGAUGUGAGGACAGAAAUUAAUGUUGCUGAACAUCGAGAUUCAAAAAAUAUUGGGAACAAUGAGUAACUCCUGGCUUAGUAUGUGUGAACAAACAAAACACUUAACUUAGAAAACAACAACUAAACUAAACACUAAAGUAAAAAAAUGUGUUUAAAAACAAAUUGUUUCAUUUAAUCCUGGAUCACACUACAUGAAAUCACUACAGAGUUCAGACAAAUGAUGCAUCAUUUACCCGAAUUGCUAUAAUUCAGAAAAAUCCUGGAAAAAAUAUUAGGACAUAAUAAGUGACAAGUUACACCUGCUCUGUUUGUACUUCAAUGACCUCUAACACCUGAAAUCUUUUAUAGUAUGAAGGUAAAAUAUUGUGUAGCUUGAAUAUUCAU
ensembl:lncRNA